UAGCAAAGAAUUAAGGCAAAAAAAAAUAAAAAAUCAAGGUUUAUGCUGACUCAUACAAUUGAACCUUGAUUUCCCAUGCAGUGGCAUGCACCACCAAACCCAACCCAAUACAAUUAUAUAAGAACAUAAUAAAUAUGUAUCCAAGCAUCCAACCUGGAGAGCAGAUUUAAGGGCAUGUCUAACAAGUUUGAACAAAUCUGAAUCUGUAAUCUCAGCAAUCUCCAUCUCAGCACAACCUGCCUUUUCAGCAUGUAAUUCCAUUCCCAUUAUGUUGACUUGGGUUGAAAUAUUGCGCAAAUUUCCUGUGAAACAUAAUCAUGUAGAAAACCCCUUGAAUCAUUUCAUCAAUGAACUCAUGACAAUGCUUAUUCAAGAAAAAACAACAGUUAAAAAUGCUGAAGUAUGCACAUCUUUGCAACAGUCUUUCCUCUUCUUCCUUUGUUUUUUGGAAGAUAAACUACAAUUUAUAAAAAGAUGAUCAUCCAACAAGACAGAAUAAUAUUACAGUCUUCUAGCUUAAGAUCAAGUUCUAAGCUGUUACUUUAAUCUUUAUAAAAAAUUCCUUAUCAUAAGAUGUGCAUUAAAAGUGACUUCAAAUGAAUGACUGGUUUGCUGUCUUUGUAAUCACUGAGCCCUUUCAAUUCAAGCAUGAAAUCACAAGUAUUUCUC
rnacentral:lncRNA from 1 species